UUAUGUUCAUCACACAGCAAUCUUUGUUUCUGGACGUUCACUGCAGUGUAAACCCCGCCUCGGGCACCGGUCUCCGGUCUUCGUGGACAUCCUGUUUUACCCUUUCUAGCGGGUGGGUGGAUUUGUGGACUCUGACUGUGGGGCAGUGCUGGAUGCCAACCUGGAGGACAUGAAAAGCGGAACCUCUAAAGAAUCUGCCUUGGAAAUUCCCGCUCGCUCGUGAAAUGAUGACCCUGAGACGGCCCAGAUCAGGCAGUGCUGUAGACUGUCCGAGGUACUGUUGCUAGGGUCCAUUCCGGAGGACCUGACACCAUCAUCCUCUUAGCACCAAUCUUACAGAAAAGCUUCGGAAGCCUUUGGAUUUAUGGGAAGGAACAAGCUGUUACAAAGACAACAGUUUUAUUGAAAACCAGCCUAAAUCAAGUGGAGGAAAGGUAGCUGUAAAAAUCGGCCAAGAGUGAGGCUGCAGAGUGGGGCCUGUGGAGCCUGUGUCGUUCCCAAUCACCAGCAAAACCGACAAUGGGCUGACCUGCUACCUGCAGCUGUUUUCAAUCAGGAAGCAGUGCAAUUAUGGCAUCCUCUCCCGGGGCUCACUUGCAGGACCACAUGGAGCCAAGGGAACAUUAAGGAUGUUUGAACCAGCUCCCAGAAAUCUACAGCGUUCGCCUGCCAACCGCUCGUCUUCACCCUGGCUGGGCGUCAUUAACUCCAUUCCGCAUUCAUUCAACAAUCAAAAAUCUACAUUCUUCCCGGAUGAAUGGCGAUGUCCUCUGAUCCAGGAAACCAGCCCUCCAGUUUCGGAGUCGGGGCUACAGAGAAGGAGGACCUCUCACGAGCCCUCACCAUCUCCUGACACCAUCACCAUGAGAAGCAAAUCUGCAGCCUGUGAACUCCUGGGAGCAAAGCGUGGGAGCACACUGACAGCCAAUCAGCUUCCUCGUCUAUACACGAACAUGACAGAAGAGCAUUUCUGAGAAUGCUAGAUCAUGAAAAUGAGGUGGCUUAUUACUUCCUGUCUGUCUGUCUGUCUGUCUAUCUAUCUAUCUAUCUAUUAUCUCUAUCACCUAUUGAGGAUAUAAUACUAUCAUAAAAAUUUAAAUAAUUGUCUGUCCUGAACUUUAGCUUCAUAGCUCAAUCAUGGGCCAGAAGUUUUCUCCUUGGAUGUGCCAACAUCCUCUUAUCAUUUCUCGCAGAUGGACAUCCACUUGAGAACUAUAUUUAUGCUAAUGGUUUUAUACUGUUUUCACAGGGGUGUGGCCAAAAUACUAUUUUUGAUAUGGUGGUGUCACUUAGAUUCCAUGAGAGAGAGAGAGAGAGAGAGAGAGAGAGAGAGAGAGAGAGAGAGAGUGUCACAGCAUACUUGACUCCUACCUCAGUCUUCUCAUCUUAGAAUGGGUCAAUAGCAGCCACUCUGCAGGUGAUAAUUCAAUGCAUACUAACCUGUAAUCACUGGGUGUGGUGUGCAUUUAGUAAAUACUAGCUAAAAGAUACCAUGCUGGGGAAGGAAUGGCUGUGAAGGGGGAGAGGAUGAAGAAAGGAUAAUUGGGGAUGAAAGAAUGAGUUCUCUUAUACAGAAUCUAGAGUGUAUUUAGUGGGAGGAUGGGCACCAGGGAGAUGGGUGGGGAACAAGAUGGAGUCAUGGGUGCAUAGGAGCUACAGCAAAGAUCAGCACGAAAGAAAAGAUAAUGAAAGUCAUUAUUUUGCAUGCUAAGUAAAAAUUUUAAAAGUCUCUCACAUUCAGGUUGAAUUAUCAAAGUGCUUGUUUCAUUCCAAUGAGAACUCAGUCAAUACUUCCGGUCUUUCCAUGAGCACUCAGUCAAUACUUCCGGUCUUUCCAUGAGAACUUAGUCAAUACUUCCGGUCGGUCUUUCCACGAUCUGGUAGCAAGUAUCCCAUUAUGGCUUUGCUAGCAUUCUUUUGUUUAAAAAAUAA